rnacentral:rRNA from 1 species
GAUGAACGCUAGCGGCAGGCUUAACACAUGCAAGUCGAGGGGUAGAAGGAGCUUGCUCCUUUGAGACCGGCGCACGGGUGCGUAACGCGUAUGCAAUCUACCUUUUGCAGAGGAUAGCCCAGAGAAAUUUGGAUUAAUACCUCAUAGUAUGUGAGGAUGGCAUCAUUUUCACAUUAAAGUCACAACGGCAAAAGAUGAGCAUGCGUCCCAUUAGCUAGUUGGUAAGGUAACGGCUUACCAAGGCUACGAUGGGUAGGGUCCUGAGAGGGAGAUCCCCCACACUGGUACUGAGACACGGGACCAGACUCCUACGGGAGGCAGCAGUGAGGAAUAUUGGACAAUGGGCGCAAGCCUGAUCCAGCAAUGCCGCGUGAGUGAUGAAGGCC